CAGAGGUCCCAAGCGUUGUUCGGAUUCAUUGGGCGUAAAGGGUGCGUAGGUGGCAUGGUAAGUCGGGUGUGAAAUCCCGGGGCUCAACCCCGGAACUGCACUCGAUACUGCCGUGCUCGAGUACUGGAGAGGAGACUGGAAUUUACGGUGUAGCAGUGAAAUGCGUAGAUAUCGUAAGGAAGACCGGUGGCGAAGGCUAGUCUCUGGACAGUUACUGACACUGAGGCACGAAGGCCAGGGGAGCAAACGGGAUUAGAUACCCCGGUAGUCCUGGCAGUAAACGGUGCGCGUUUGGCGUGGGAGGAUUCGACCCCUUCCGUGCCGGAGCUAACGCGUUAAACGCGCCGCCUGGGGAAUACGAUCGCAAGAUUA
rnacentral:rRNA from 1 species